CCCACUUACUGGAUUUUUUUCCUUAUAACCCCUAGAACUAAGUCCUUAUAUCAGGCUUGCCUAAGAAGAAACCAAGCUUUAAGCACUGGCACCAGCUAGGUGGCUUUCCUGUGCCUUUCAGCUUUAUCUUUCCCAAAACAGAAAAAAUUAGAGCUCAGCGAUUCUCCUGGAUACAUACAUAAUACAGGAGGAAAAUGCCACAUGUCAAGACCUAUCACAUACCAGGACCUAUGCAAGGGAUCUAGCAAUAAACAAGGUGAGAGCUUUUUCCUAAGGGAUCUUGUUCAGCAAGUAUGGCCUGGCCAGGAUAGGAAAGGGGAUUGAAUUACAUGCCUAAAGAAAGUAGAAGGGGAAAAGGAAGGAAGAGUUCUAUGUCACUGGAAAACUCCAGAGGGGCCUCCUAGAAGUGGUGACGUUGAGAAAGGCAGAAUAAAAAGAAGGGGCCUGAUGGACUGGGGGAAUGGGAUGAGAGCAGGCCCAGGAACAAGACAGUGUAGAGCUGGGAGAACCAUUUGAAAAGCAUAGUUGGGAUGAGGCGUCAGGUAUGUGAAGAGAGGUUACUGAAGAUAAAGCUGAGGGCUGAUUUGGAAUGUUUGGAUACCAGAAAGGGGAAUCUGGACAUCGUUCUCCUGUGAGCCACGGCCCAGUGAAAGUGCUGGCAUUAACAAAGCAUUCAGGACACCAUGGCCACUUGCCAAGGGGAGAGGCAUCUCGAACCAGAAAGUUUUCCAUUGGUCCCAGGGGUGGAGCUUGGGGCCUUUAGGCUAGAAAACAGAAAUAGGGCCUCACCCCUAAUUAUAGGACAAGGGGAGAAGACUAUUACUCUUUGGGCAUUACUACAAAAGUCUUCCUAACCUUUUCUAGCUUUGUGCUAUCUGAUGGGUUAAACACUCCACCCACCUGUUUUCAAGUCUGCAAAUUGAGUGGGAGUUGAGUUUUCCACCCUUGCUGGUAUUUCACGACUUACGUUGUAGCUAUUUGCAAUCAUGCCUGUCAUUGGCUUUGAAUCUCCAAGUUUCCAUCUCUUUAAAUACCCAUUUCUUUAAGCAUCCCCAUUAAGGCACCAAUCAUUUACUUAUAAAGCAUGGAUCUAGCUAUUUUAUGGUGUCUAUCCAUCAAUAAUGACACAAAGAUCUAUGAUGCAACCUAUCACGUAAUUCUUACAACAACCUUGUGAGAUAAAUGUGGUAUUACUAUUGACGUGUUUCAAACGAGGAAGCUGAGACACCAAGAGACCAGGCAGCAAACCCGAAGCCAUGCAGCUGUAGAGAGCUGGAGAAAUUGGUGGAACCGUUUCACUAAGCUUUCUUGAAAGCACUGUUAAGCUGCUGUGAACUUGACUGGAAGUGUUUGUGAGCUCUCUGAUCUCUCAUCUUCAGAAUUCUCACA
rnacentral:lncRNA from 1 species